rnacentral:rRNA from 1 species
CCUACGGGAGGCAGCAGUGAGGAAUAUUGGUCAAUGGGCGCGAGCCUGAACCAGCCAAGUCGCGUGAGGGAAGACGGUCCUAUGGAUUGUAAACCUCUUUUGUCGGGGAGCAAAAGACGCCACGCGUGGCGUUCCGAGAGUACCCGACGAAAAAGCAUCGGCUAACUCCGUGCCAGCAGCCGCGGUAAUAUGGAGGUUGCGAGCGUUAUCCGGCUUUAUUGGGUUUAAAGGGUGCGCAGGCGGAAGAUCAAGUCAGCGGUAAAAUUGAGAGGCUCAACCUCUUCGAGCCGUUGAAACUGGUGUUCUUGAGUGAGUGAGAAGUAUGCGGAAUGCGUGGUGUAGCGGUGAAAUGCAUAGAUAUCACGCAGAACUCCGAUUGCGAAGGCAGCAUACCGGCGCUCAACUGACGCUCAUGCACGAAAGUGUGGGUAUCGAACAGGAUUAGAUACCCGGGUAGUC